AUGAGUCGUGAAAAGGACUGGUGUGAUCUAUUUGUUGUACAGGACAAUAACAUGGCAGCAAUUAAUAUACCAGCACUACAUAUUGAGAAUUACAAUGUCAUGAAUGGUGUUUGGUUUAUGUGUAGAAAUGUUGUUUCUUCGGACAUGUCAGAGCAUAAGGUUAGUGAAAAUCACUUGACCAUGAAGAGUUUCAAGAUCUAUAUGGAAGGACCAAGGCCACGGCUUGAAGAAAGGGAUGAAUUUUUGUUGAUGGCAUGA